UACGGGGGGAGCAAGCGUUGUUCGGAUUUACUGGGCGUAAAGAGCUUGUAGGCGGUUUGUCGCGUCUGCUGUGAAAUUUCGGGGCUCAACCCCGAACUUGCAGUGGGUACGGGCAGACUAGAGUGUGGUAGGGGAGACUGGAAUUCCUGGUGUAGCGGUGAAAUGCGCAGAUAUCAGGAGGAACACCGAUGGCGAAGGCAGGUCUCUGGGCCAUAACUGACGCUGAGAAGCGAAAGCAUGGGGAGCGAACAGG
rnacentral:rRNA from 1 species